rnacentral:SRP_RNA from 1 species
GGUCAGGUCCCAUGCGGCGGCGCGCCCAUGAACCCCGCGAGAUCCGGAAGGAAGCAACGGUAGUGAGGUCGGCCGCGUGCCGUGGAUUGCCUGGCCUUU